rnacentral:tRNA from 1 species
GGGGGUAUAGCUCAGUGGUAGAGCAUUCGUCUGCAAAUCGAGAGGUCCCGGCUCAAACCCGAAUGCUCCCU